UACGAGUGCUCCAAGCGUUAUCCGGAAUCAUUGGGCGUAAAGGGUGUGUAGGCGGUUGUGUUUGUCUGUUGUUAAAUUCUUCGGCUUAACCGGGGGCAUGCAGAGGAAACGGCACAACUAGAGGAUGCGAGAGGUGAAUGGAACUCAUGGAGUAGGGGUGAAAUCCGUUGAUAUCAUGGGGAACACCAAAUGCGAAGGCAAUUCACUGGCGCACUCCUGACGCUGAGACACGAAAGCGUAGGUAGCGAAUGGG
rnacentral:rRNA from 1 species